rnacentral:sRNA from 2 species
AUAAUUUGUAUCUAGGGUUCCAGCUCUUUGACAUGACUGGGUGUUUGGUCCGAGAGAUACAGCCAGUCGAUUUCUCACAUCCAGAAAUACUGGUUCACGGAGGGAUAAAAGCCCGGGAGGC